ensembl:lncRNA
UAAAAUUACAAUUUUCUCUGCUCUGAUUACAAGCAGCUUAUCUGCGUCUCACUGUUGUGGCUCUUCACAGACUCAGGGAAGAAGAAAAGGAACAUCUCAUCUGUUCUUGUGUACUUUUCAGAGGGUCGAUGAGUGGAUGGCGAAGGAAGGCCUCUUAGAUCCAAACGUCAAGUCAGUUUUUGUCACCUGCGGAGACUCGACUUAAAAGUCAUGGAAGGAAGGGUCUAUGAAUGCUCCACCACAAGGGCCAGGAGAAGCCUUGAUGACACGGAGCGGGCACCUGCAGAUGAUAGGCAUUCUGCCCUGGACUCCUUGGGACACAGCAGCCUGCAAAGCAACCUUCUAAUUGGCUGGCAGCAGCAGGUGAGCCCUUCUCCCCCCCCCCGCCAUCUCUCAGAGAACUGGGCAUUCUAAGAGGGCUGGGGAAGGAUCGAGGGCAGGCGCUAAAGUGGGCUUUCUUUCC